UGGCGCCCUAGCAGCAGCCUAAGCAGAGAGCUCCUGUACAUUUUCCAAUGUCCGGCGGUUGAGGAUGGAGAGAAGCCGAAAGCAAGACGGCAGAGGUGUGCAGUGAUGAGGAUCGUAGGAAGGACAAAGUUACAAGGCUGCUCUUGAAUUAUUAUUGAAAUGUGGUGUGCUUUCUGGUGCCACGUAACUGCUGUAGCAUCAUCCAAGUGGCUGCUUCAUUUUGGUAGCAGUGAAGGAGUAGCUAACUAGCUAGCAGAGGCUGCAGUGGCUUAGCUCAAACUGAAUUUGACUGAGGUUUACUACGGAAAAGACAGAAACAGCGAGACACCUUGAUGAGCUUCCUGCCUGCCUCCGAACUUUCUCUCCCUGCUUGACCACCUCCCUCAGAUGACCACUCAAGCCAUAAACCUUCUCAUGACUGUCCAACACAGGAUGUUGUGAUGUUGUUUUUCUUAAUUACUUGUAUUGUUGUGUGCUUUCAGGGCUGGCAACUUUUGAUAAAAACUUGGAGUGAGA